rnacentral:lncRNA from 1 species
ACUCUUGCUUCAUUUUCUUGUGCUGAUUCUAUAGCUGUGAUGGUGGGAUGCUAGAUGAAGAACACAAAGACAACAGUGAAGUGAAUACAUUUAUAUUGAUGGGACAGAUGAAAAUUACUUAGUCUUUGGAAGAAGAAAGAGGAGUGCCUUAAGCUACUGUGUCUGUUCUGCCUUCUGUGGCUACAUAUGUCUCCAACCAGAGUGAUGCUUCCUAGCAGCAUGCAUCCUGCUUUAUGUCCACCCCCUGCCUUUUGAAUCACUAUAAAUUAAGCAAUGGCUGUGUGCACCAGCAAAAGGAAAGAGCCAACUUGGGACUGUGAAGAUAGUGAAAGGACACAAUAUUUUAAGGCCUCACUGACUAAAUCAGAAAAAGGAAAUCUACCUUGCUUCAUUAAAAAGAGGUAUAGUCUGGUAUGA